UUCGGCCAAAACAUUAUUAAAACACCGAUUCUCGUACGAUCAUCGAAGUUAAGCAACGUCGAGCCUGGUCAGUAUCUAGAUGAGUGACCACUUGAGAAUACCAGGUGUU